rnacentral:rRNA from 1 species
AUACGAAGGGGGCUAGCGUUGUUCGGAAUCACUGGGCGUAAAGCGCAUGCAGGCGGAUCGUUUAGUCGGGGGUGAAAUCCCGAGGCUCAACCUCGGAACUGCCUCCGAUACUGGCGAUCUUGAGUCCGGGAGAGGUGAGUGGAACUGCGAGUGUAGAGGUGAAAUUCGUAGAUAUUCGCAAGAACACCAGUGGCGAAGGCGGCUCACUGGCCCGGUACUGACGCUCAGGUGCGAAAGCGUGGGGAGC